CAGCAGCCACGGGAAUACGUAGGGUGCGAGCGUUAAUCGGAAUUACUGGGCGUAAAGCGUGCGCAGGCGGUUAUAUAAGACAGAUGUGAAAUCCCCGGGCUCAACCUGGGACCUGCAUUUGUGACUGUAUAGCUAGAGUACGGUAGAGGGGGAUGGAAUUCCGCGUGUAGCAGUGAAAUGCGUAGAUAUGCGGAGGAACACCGAUGGCGAAGGCAAUCCCCUGGACCUGUACUGACGCUCAUGCACGAAAGCGUGGGGAGCAAACAGGAUUAGAUACCCGGGUAGUCCCUGUCUCUUUACA
rnacentral:rRNA from 1 species